rnacentral:rRNA from 1 species
UCUACGGGGUGCAGCAGUGAGGAAUAUUGAUCAAUGGACGAGAGUCUGAACCAGCCAAGUAGCGUGAAGGAUGACUGCCCUACGGGUUGUAAACUUCUUUUAUAAAGGAAUAAAGUGAGGCACGUGUGCCUUUUUGUAUGUACUUUAUGAAUAAGGAUCGGCUAACUCCGUGCCAGCAGCCGCGGUAAUACGGAGGAUCCGAGCGUUAUCCGGUUUUAUUGGGUUUAAAGGGAGCGUAGAUGGGUUGUUAAGUUAGUUGGGAAAGUUUGGGGCUCAACCGUAAAAUUGCAAUUGAUACUGGCAGUCUUGAGUACAGUUGAGGUAGGCGGAAUUCGUGGUGUAGCGGUGAAAUGCUUAGAUAUCACGAAGAACUCCGAUUGCGAAGGCAGCUUACUAAACUGCCACUGACAUUGAUGCUCGAAAGUGUGGGUAUCAAACAGGAUUAGAUACCCGUGUAGUC